rnacentral:tRNA from 1 species
GCCUUCGUGGUAUAAUGGUUAGCACACUCGGCACAUAUUUCGAAAGGUCCAGGUUUGAGUCCCGGCGAGGGCA